UUAAGGAACUCGGCAAAUUGACUACCGUAACUUCGGAAUAAGGAGGGCCAUUAUUCUUGAUAAAAAUUUUUGAUAUAUCAAGUAAAUAAGAGGAAGCAUAAAAUAAUGUUGUACGACUGUUUAAUAAAAACAAAGCACUCUGCAAAGAUUAAUAAUCAAAGUAUUGAGUGUGAUGUCUGCCCAAUGUCGGCUGGGUAACGAAUUUACUUAAUUGUAAAAUUAGGUUUUGAAGGAUACCCCGAUUAAUGGCGGUCUUACCUAUAAGGAUCCAAAGGUAGCGAAAUUCCUUGGCCGUUAAAUGCGGUCCUGCAUGAGUAAAAUUUGAGUUUAGGUAACUCGA
rfam:Coccidioides immitis RMSCC 2394 supercont1.24 mitochondrial scaffold, whole genome shotgun sequence.